UCCAAACUAAGUAUUCUAAAUCUGUUUUAAAUCGCGCGUAUGAAAUCCUUAAAUGGAAAGAGAAAGUGGGUUAAGAUAAUUUUUUUCUUCUGAAAACCCUAGGCCCCUCUCUCCCAAGAUACACUCUAGAGUUGUUUUCACUUUGAGGGGAGGAAGCGAAUAUUCUUCCUCCUCUCUCCCCUUCUCUCUUUCUCCUUUCUCCUCUCUUCCCCCAUUUCCAGAGACAGAAGGUUUCCCUAUUUGUCUUUAUUUUGUUAUGAUUUUCCUCCACUCAUCAUAGGCAGAUGCGUCUAGGUGUCGG
rnacentral:lncRNA from 1 species